rnacentral:rRNA from 1 species
CCUACGGGGGGUUGCAGUGGGGAAUAUUGGACAAUGGGCGCAAGCCUGAUCCAGCAAUACCGCGUGUGUGAAGAAGGCCUGAGGGUUGUAAAGCACUUUUAAUCGGGAGGAAUAGCGGUCGGUUAAUACCCGGUCGUCUGACAUUACCGAUAGAAAAAGCACCGGCUAACUCCGUGCCAGCAGCCGCGGUAAUACGGAGCGUGCAAGUGUUAAUCGGAAUUAGUGGGCGUAAAGCGUUAGGACGCGUGUGAAAGCCCCGGGCUUAACCUGGGAACGGCAUUUGAAACUGAUCGACUGGAGUUGGGUAGAGGGGAGUGGAAUUUCAGGUGUAGCGGUGAAAUGCGUAGAUAUCUGAAGGAACACCAGUGGCGAAGGCGGCUCCCUGGACCCAAACUGACGCUGAGGCACGAAAGCGUGGGUAGCAAACAGGAUUAGAUACCCUGGUAGUC